UACGUAGGGGGCUAGCGUUGUCCGGAAUCAUUUGGGCGUAAAGCGCGUGUAGGCGGUCCGGUAAGUCCGCUGUGAAAGUCGGGGGGCUCAACCCUCGGAUGCCGGUGGAUACUGUCGGGCUUGAGUACGGAAGAGGCGAGUGGAAUCCUGGUGUAGCGGUGAAAUGCGCAGAUAUCAGGAGGAACACCAAUUAGCGAAGGCAGCUCGCUGGGACGUUACUGACGCUGAGGCGCGAAAGCGUGGGGAGCAAACAGG
rnacentral:rRNA from 1 species